rnacentral:lncRNA from 1 species
ACCAGGAAUCUUGGCUUACUUAUCAACUAUUUGUUGUGGCGUUUGUCAGAUUCUCAUCUAAAUCCUUCGAUCAUUAGUGUUUCAGCUUCUCUAAGUUUGGGGUGCCAUAGAAGGUGGGUUUAUCAAAUCUUUGGAUUCCAUAUCUACUUGUGCGUGUGGGUUUGAGGCUUGUGCCAUAGGGUUUCGCGUCAGUUGGUAUCAGAGCCAAAGUGAGGUAAAUUCUUAUUUAUCUUAGGAUCUAGAGUUUUUUUUUUUAGUUUUUC